ensembl:snoRNA SNORA57 small nucleolar RNA SNORA57
CCUCCUUUCUUGGCAUGCACGCGCUCUCCGUGCACGUGCGUGUAUGUAUGGAGGGAGAGAAGUGUCCAGUGUAAUGUCUUCGGUGCUAGUGUGUUUCCAUGACCUAGUUCUAUCCUCAAGCACUGGAACACGC